AUAUAUAUAUAUAUGUUGGAUAAUGAUUGUUUUCUCGAAUAUUGUGUCGAUUUAUAGUGUAGUCAUAUUUUAGAUAGCUACUCCGUUCAUCACCAAUAGCUUGUUUCUAUGGUUAAUUUCUUUCACUUAUUAGAUUUAUCUCAACCAAUCACUCAAUUAGUUUCUAGAGAUUGUUGUGAUUGCUAUACUACAUGUUAAGCACUUUUUAUUUUUGCCGGAUUUCUUGGCCAAAAGGGUUGGCGAUAGAAGCAACUACAUUAAAUUCAUGACCUAAGCUAAAUUACAUGUAACGAUAUACAAUACAAGAUUUGUCUAAACUAAACAUUGAUUCAACCAAAACUUAUAUAGACUAU
rnacentral:sRNA from 1 species